UCUCGAUUGGUGUAGUGGUUAGCAUGUCGGCUUGUCACGCCGACGACCGGGGUUCGAUUCCCCGAUCGAGAG